UAGUCAUAUGCUUGUCUCAAAGAUUUACCCAUGCAUGCCUAAGUACACGCCUAAAUAUGGUAAAACCGCGAAUGGCUCAUUAAAUCAGCUAUGGUUCCUUGGAUCAUAAUGCUACUACAUGGAUAACUGUAGUAAUUCUAGAGCUAAUACGUGCCUCGAGGCCCUGAUCCGCAAGGUGAGGGGCGCACUUAUUAGUCUACAACACAAACGAUUCGUCGUUGUUUGUGGUGACUCUGGAUAACUUUGUAUGAUCGCAGCUGGCCACCGUGCCGGCGACGGAUCCAUCAAAUAUCUGCCCUAUCAACUUACGAUGGUAGGUGAUAUGCCUACCAUGGUUAUGACGGGUAACGGGGAAUCAGGGUUCGAUUCCGGAGAGGGAGCCUGAGAAACGGCUACCACAUCCAAGGAAGGCAGCAGGCGCGUAAAUUACCCACUCUCUGAACGAGGAGGUAGUAAAGAUAAAUAUCGAUACAGAACUCAUUCGAGGCUCUGUAAUCGAAAUGAGUGCACUAUAAAUCUUAUAACGAGGAUCUAUUGGAGGGCAAGUCUGGUGCCAGCAGCCGCGGUAACUCCAGCUCCAAUAGCGUAUAUUAAAAUUGCUUCAGUUAAAAAGCUCGUAGUUGGAUCUGGGCCAUAUAGUGAUGAUCAAUUUAAUUGUGGUUUGCUAACGCUUAUCAUGGUUAGUUGGUAUAUUCGCUUGUGGCUUCGUAGCUAUGUUCACUUGAUUUCGGUCUUGUAAAUGAUAUUGGAUGCCGGUGUUUGCUCCUUCGCGGGGGUGAAUGCGAUUCAUUACCAUGUUCUCCUGAUUCCCUUAACCGGGUGUCCGGGACUCUUAGCACGUUUACUUUGAACAAAUUUGAGUGCUCAAAGCAGGCCGCUUGUUGCCUGAAGAUUUUUGCAUGGAAUAAUGAAAUAGGACUUUGGUCCUAUUUUGUUGGUUUGAUAGAACCGAAGUAAUGAUAAAGAGGAACCGUCGGGGGCAUUUGUAUGGCUGCGCUAGAGGUGAAAUUUGUGGGCCGUAGCCCGACAACUUAAAGCGAAAGCAUUUGCCUAGUAUGUUUUCAUUUACCCGGAGCGAAAGUCAGAGGUUUGAAGACGAUUCGAUACCGUCCUAGUUUUGACCAUAAACGAUGCCAACUGACGAUCCGUGGUAGUUCUUUAUAUGAGCCCACGGGCAGUCUCCGGGAAACCUGUAAGUCUAUGGGUUCCGGGGAAAGUAUGGUUGCAAAACUGAAACUUAAAGGAAUUGACGGAAGGGCACCACCAGGAGUGGAGCUUGCGGCUUAAUUUGACUCAACACGGGAAAACUCACCCGACCCGGACACUGGGAGGAUUGACAGAUUGAUAGCUCUUUCUUGAUUCAGUGGCUAGUGGUGCAUGGCCGUUCUUAAUUCGUGGUACGAACUGUCUGGUUAAUUCCGAUAACGAACGAAACUCUAUCCUGCUAAAUAAUACAGUUGCAACCAUUAUGUGGACUGCUGUGCUGGAGCUCCGGUUCCGGUGCAGUGCCGCAUAGGCAGGUGAAACUUCUUAGAGGAACUGGCGCUCGAAAAGGCGCACGAGAAAAAGCAAUAACAGGUCUGUGAUGCCCCAAGAUGUCCGGGGCCGCACGCGUGCUACAAUGACGAUGCUUAUGAGCAUGAUUAACUUGUGGGAAAAGAUCGGUGAAAAUGCUCGAUCAUCCUCGUGCCUGGGAGUAAGGUUUUUUAUUAUUCCCCCCGAAGCAAGAAGUAUUACUAAGCACAAGUCAUUAACAUGUGCUGAAUAAGUACCUGCCCGUUCAUUACACACACCCGCCGCUACUACCGACUGAAUGGUUUAUAAACCAAGUGAAUGGAAUGGAUUCAGACAGAG
rnacentral:rRNA from 1 species